rnacentral:rRNA from 1 species
UACGUAGGUGACAAGCGUUGUCCGGAUUUACUGGGCGUAAAGAGCGCGCAGGCGGUCGUUCAAGUCGAGUGUGAAAGCCCCCGGCUCAACUGGGGAGGGUCAUUCGAUACUGAUCGACUCGAAGGCAGGAGAGGGAAGUGGAAUUCCCGGUGUAGUGGUGAAAUGCGUAGAUAUCAGGAGGAACACCAAUGGCGAAGGCAGCACUCUGGGACGGUACUGACGCUGAGACGCGAAAGCGUGGGGAGCAAGCAGG